rnacentral:rRNA from 1 species
GAUGAACGCUGGCGGCGUGCCUAAUACAUGCAAGUCGAGCGAACGGACGAGAAGCUUGCUUCUCUGAUGUUAGCGGCGGACGGGUGAGUAACACGUGGAUAACCUACCUAUAAGACUGGGAUAACUUCGGGAAACCGGAGCUAAUACCGGAUAAUAUUUUGAACCGCAUGGUUCAAAAGUAAAAGACGGUCUUGCUGUCACUUAUAGAUGGAUCCGCGCUGCAUUAGCUAGUUGGUAAGGUAACGGCUUGCCAAGGCAACGAUGCAUAGCCGACCUGAGAGGGUGAUCGGCCACACUGGAACUGAGACACGGUCCAGACUCCUACGGGAGGCAGCAGUAGGGAAUCUUCCGCAAUGGGCGAAAGCCUGACGGAGCAACGCCGCGUGAGUGAUGAAGGUCUUCGGAUCGUAAAACUCUGUUAUUAGGGAAGAACAUAUGUGUAAGUAACUGUGCACAUCUUGACGGUACCUAAUCAGAAAGCCACGGCUAACUACGUG